AUGGGUAACAACUUUAGUCUCUUCAUCCUGGUUCUAUGCAUUCUACAUCUUAUCCAUGGCAUACUUGGAGGUAGACCCCAUGCUGGCAAUCAGGAGGAGCUUGGUGUCUCUGGUGGCAACUUAAAGCCAAUCAACCUGAAGAUGGAUGGUUUGGAUCCACCUCCUGCAAAUGUGUCAACGUUCCCUAAUUAUGGCGUCAGAACUUCCUAUGAUGCAGCAUAUAAAACAAAUGUGGCGCGGGAUUACUAUGGGAUUGAAGCUACAAUCGACGUACAUGGUCUCUCUUUGCGUCAAGAUCAACACAGUGGAGCUGCCUUGAUUAUUAAGUAUUCGAAAGCGUUCGAUCGUAACAUGAUUGUUGUUGGAUGGCAUGACAAAGCAACGGGAGACUGGCUUGUGCACUGUGGAUUCGGGUCGAAGCCAAAGUUAAUCGGGCGUUUCCCCAAGACCUUGUUCGCCACCUUGGCCGACAAGGCGGAUGAGAUACAAGCCCGAGGUUUUGUGCUGACUCAAGCUAGUCCUUUGGCCCCGAUGGGGAGCGGUUUCCGUCCCAGCAACGUGAAAGCCGCGUCAUUCAGCAAUAUCAUGUUUCUGGAUCAAGAUGGCAAGAGGUUUGGAGUCCCGCAAGAUUUCACGCCCUACAUGACGAACGAUAAGGUGUACGCCGUGUCUCAGAUCAGCCCCAACGGCGGGUUCAUGUAUGGUGGGCCGUCUGAAUGA
rnacentral:rRNA from 1 species